AUUGCUUCUUGGCCUUUUGGCUAAGAUCAAGCGUAGUAAUUCACUUUAGUUUAUAAUACUGUUUAUUGCCUCACAGAAUAUCCUCCCAUGUAUCUUGUAGGUACAUUUCUACCUUAUUUUUAAAGUUUGCUGUUUUUGAACCUAUUGGGGUGUUU
rnacentral:snRNA from 1 species